GGCGAGGUGGCCGAGCGGCCUAAGGCGCUGGUUUUAGGCACCAGUCUCUUCGGAGGCGUGGGUUCGAAUCCCACCCUCGUGU
rnacentral:tRNA from 1 species